UGACUUUCUGCGCCGACGGCGUAUUCGUGCCAUCGGGUGAGAAAGACGAC
ensembl:miRNA